rnacentral:rRNA from 1 species
CAAGCCCCUGGUUGCCUCCCACAAGGGGAAAUCCGGUUGGGCGGGCUAUUCACAAGUUUCUUUUGUCGUUAUAGCCCGAAUAAGUCUUAACAAGAGCUUCGUGGUUGCUCAAGUGGCGGGAGUAGCAUGGGGUUUUCAAAUCCCAAACCCCUGUGAUCUUACCCUUAUGUUGCCUCGGCGGAUCAGCCCGCGCCCCGUAAAACCGGAGGGCCCUCCGCAGGAACCACAAAACUAUGAUUUUAGGGUAACUUCUGAGUCUAAAAAACAAAUAAAUCAAAACUUUCAACAACGGAUCUGUUGGUUCUGGCAUCGAUGAAGAACGCAGCAAAAUGCGAUAAGUAAUGGGAAUUGCAGAAUUCAGUGAAUCAUCGAAUCUUUGAACGCACAUUGCGCCCGCCAGUACUCUGGCGGGCAUGCCUGUUCGAGCGUCAUUUCAACCCUCAAGCCCCCGGGUUUGGUGUUGGGGAUCGGGCUGUACUCCAGCCCGGCCCCGAAAUCUAGUGGCGGUCUCGCUGCAGCCUCCAUUGCGUAGUAGCUAACACCUCGCAACUGGAAUGCGGCGCGGCCAAGCCGUUAAACCCCCAACUUCUGAAUGUUGACCUCGGAUCAGGUAGGAAUACCCGCUGAACUUAAGCAUAUCAAUAAGCGGAGGA